AUUGAACGCUGGCGGCAGGCCUAACACAUGCAAGUCGAGCGGUAGAGAGAAGCUUGCUUCUCUUGAGAGCGGCGGACGGGUGAGUAAUGCCUAGGAAUCUGCCUGGUAGUGGGGGAUAGCGUUCGGAAACGGACGCUAAUACCGCAUACGUCCUACGGGAGAAAGCAGGGGACCUUCGGGCCUUGCGCUAUCAGAUGAGCCUAGGUCGGAUUAGCUAGUUGGUGAGGUAAUGGCUCACCAAGGCGACGAUCCGUAACUGGUCUGAGAGGAUGAUCAGUCACACUGGAACUGAGACACGGUCCAGACUCCUACGGGAGGCAGCAGUGGGGAAUAUUGGACAAUGGGCGAAAGCCUGGUCCAGCCAUGCCGCGUGUGUGAAGAAGGUCCUCGGAUUGUAAAGCACUUUAAGUUGGGAGGAAGGGUUGUAGAUUAAUACUCUGCAAUUUUGACGUUACCGACAGAAUAAGCACCGGCUAACUCUGUGCCAGCCGCCGCCGUAA
rnacentral:rRNA from 1 species